AUGCCUUACACAUGCAAGUCGAACGGCAGCAUGAUCUAGCUUGCUAGAUUGAUGGCGAGUGGCGAACGGGUGAGUAAUAGAUCGGAACGUGCCCUGUAGUGGGGGAUAACUAGUCGAAAGAUUAGCUAAUACCGCAUACGACCUGAGGGUGAAAGUGGGGGACCGCAAGGCCUCAUGCUAUAGGAGCGGCCGAUGUCUGAUUAGCUAGUUGGUGGGGUAAAGGCCCACCAAGGGGACGAUCAGUAGCUGGUCUGAGAGGACGAUCAGCCACACUGCGACUGAGACACGGCCCAGACUCNUACGGGAGGCAGCAGUGGGGAAUUUUGGACAAUGGGGGCAACCCUGAUCCAGCAAUGCCGCGUGUGUGAAGAAGGCCUUCGGGUUGUAAAGCACUUUUGUCCGGAAAGAAAUCGCACUUACUAAUAUUAGGUGUGGAUGACGGUACCGGAAGAAUAAGGACCGGCUAACUACGUGCCAGCAGCCGCGGUAAUACGUAGGGUCCAAGCGUUAAUCGGAAUUACUGGGCGUAAAGCGUGCGCAGGCGGUUGUGCAAGACCGAUGUGAAAUCCCCGGGCUUAACCUGGGAAUUGCAUUGGUGACUGCACGGCUAGAGUGUGUCAGAGGGGGGUAGAAUUCCACGUGUAGCAGUGAAAUGCGUAGAGAUGUGGAGGAAUACCGAUGGCGAAGGCAGCCCCCUGGGAUAACACUGACGCUCAUGCACGAAAGCGUGGGGAGCAAACAGGAUUAUAUACCC
rnacentral:rRNA from 1 species